GGAGGAUUGCUACACCCCUAGACUUUGAUUCUGUGUAAUUUCCUCAGUAUCCCUUCGUGUAGUGUCUGGAUCUAAGAGAUGGGGCUGAAUCUUUUCGGAAAAGUGUCUCCUGUAUAAAGACUACCUCAGCCUUACGUUUGUGGUAAUCUGUGAGAGCUAAGUGUCUUUUUUCCGGGGGUGUUUAAUCCCCUGGCGUUGUGGGAUAAAACGGAUAUGGCUGCCAUUGCCAAGUGGAGUGUGGUG